rnacentral:rRNA from 1 species
GAUGAAUGCUGGCGGCGUGCCUAAUACAUGCAAGUCGAGCGAACAGACGAGGAGCUUGCUCCUCUGACGUUAGCGGCGGACGGGUGAGUAACACGUGGAUAACCUACCUUUAAGACUUGGAUAACUUCGGGAAACCGGAGCUAAUACCGUAUAACAUUUUGAACCGCAUGGUUCAACAGUGAAAGACGGUCUUUCUGUCUCUUAUAGAUGGAUCCGCGCCGCAUUAGCUAGUUGGUAAGGUAACGGCUUACCAAGGCAACGAUGCGUAGCCGACCUGAGAGGGGGAUCGGACACACGGGAACUGAGACACGGACCAGACUCCUACGGGAGGCAGCAGUAGGGAAUAUUCCGAAAUGGGCGAAAGCCUGACGGAGCAACGCCGCGUGAGAGAAGAAGGUCUUCGGAUCGUAAAACUCUGUUAUUAGGGAAGAAAAAAUGUGUAAGUAACUAUGCACGUCUUGACGGUACCUAAACAGAAAGCCACGGCUAACUACGUG